rfam:Schistosoma rodhaini strain Burundi genome assembly, scaffold: SROB_scaffold0001107
AUCCAGUUGACGAGUCCUAAAUAGGACGAAACGCAUGUCUUGGGU